UGACCUCAAAUUAUACAUACACAUUCAUAACAAGUACACCAACAAACGAUCCAAAUUUUACCUAUGUAGAUGCCACAAAACUUUAAAAAACCUCAAAUUUAUAAAUAUAUUUUUAUUUCUCAAAAUCUAAACCUACCAAGAAUAUUACUAACUUUGAAAACUCGUCAAAAUCUCAAUAUUGAUUUAAAUGAUAUAAUAAUAAUGCCCAAAAA
rnacentral:lncRNA from 1 species